AAAAAUGUGCAUGGAAAGCCACGAUCCAGGUACCAUUUGAAAGGUGGAGUGAUGUACAUCACUCCUAUGCCACUCAAUUCCACUCUAGAUCCCUAUUGAGAGAGAAAUCAGAGAUGGAACUUUGGUGGUGUUCAACCGAACUUGCUUGAUUUCAAAAAUUAAGAACACAAUAAUGAUGCCUCUAUGCAGAGGACUUCAUACAACACAAAAUCAAGGCAAAUGGAACAAUAUAUGAGCUGUUUCGAAGCAAAA
rnacentral:lncRNA from 1 species